GAUGAACGCUGGCGGCGUGCCUAAUACAUGCAAGUCGAGCGAACGGACGAGAAGCUUGCUUCUCUGAUGUUAGCGGCGGACGGGUGAGUAACACGUGGAUAACCUACCUAUAAGACUGGGAUAACUUCGGGAAACCGGAGCUAAUACCGGAUGAUAUUUUGAACCGCAUGGUUCAAAAGUGAAAGACGGUCUUGCUGUCACUUAUAGAUGGAUCCGCGCUGCAUUAGCUAGUUGGUAAGGUAACGGCUUACCAAGGCAACGAUGCAUAGCCGACCUGAGAGGGUGAUCGGCCACACUGGAACUGAGACACGGUCCAGACUCCUACGGGAGGCAGCAGUAGGGAAUCUUCCGCAAUGGGCGAAAACCUGACGGAGCAACGCCGCGUGAGUGAUGAAGGUCUUCGGAUCGUAAAACUCUGUUAUUAGGGAAGAACAUAUGUGUAAGUAACUGUGCACAUCUUGACGGUACCUAAUCAGAAAGCCACGGCUAACUACGUG
rnacentral:rRNA from 1 species